CCGUUCCCAUCCCGAACACGGUAGUUAAGCUUCUCCGCGCCAAUGGUAGUUGGGGGUUUCCCCCUGCGAGAGUAGGUCGCUGCCGGGC
rnacentral:rRNA from 1 species